CUUCGUAAGGAUAUAUCCACUGUAUGUUGUGAUGCACAAGGUAGGACAAGCAAUGCUAACACCUAAAAACUUACAUGAUGGCUCUUAGUCAAAGGAGUUUUAUGCUAAAAGGUUUGAGGUUCAUCAGUUACAAACAGCAUCCCCUUACAGAAUCUCCAUGGUUGAUCAUCUGGUGUCCCAGAGCUCUCGACUUCUUCUAUUGUUUCUCUCGCUUUGAGUGGGUGGAGUCGUCCUUCAAAAUAUCUUGCACAGCACAAGUUUUGCUGCCUGUCAGAAGAAAGACAAUGCCAUUAAUUAUGAGAAUAUAGCACAACUUUGAAGGUAAGUUCGAGUCAAAGGAAAAGGCAGAAGUACAAAAACAUUUUCUUAUGGGAAUUUAGAUAUAAGGGAACUAAUUUGACAUAGAAAAAGAAACAUCAAGUCAUGGAAGAGGAUAAGCAUAUGUUUAAUUUGAUCAUCCACUGCAGUUGCUGCAUCAAAUGUGGGAUUUACGCUGUAUCUUUGCAUGCACAGUCAGUUCUUUUCCCUCAAGUUGCGUUCCACAAUAGUAUAUGAACUCUUUUUUGCGGCCUUCCACCAUGCCACGAACAUGGAUUCCCAGUUUUGAUUUAGGGCCUCAGUAAGCAUCUCCAUUAAACAGAUUACAGUUUGUUGGCUUCAUGGUGUUAAAAAACCAUCUUUUCACAUUACCAUAACUAAUAAUAUCCGCACAAAUAAAAGAAAAAAGUCGCAAAAAUAAAAACAAACACCCGUGCAGCAGAUGAAUGACAAAGUGCAUAAACUUUCACUGAUAAAAGAAUAUCUAUGAUUAGUCAAACAUGUUCUACCCAAUUUGCUUCAAUUUCUCUUUUUAGUAACAAGUAAUUUGUUAUUGGUUUUAGAAUAAGAAAAGCCAAAUUAUGCAGCACAUUGACAAAUAGAGUUUAGGAACUGCCAGAGUUACAAAGUUGGUGCUCACUCCACCUACGUGAUCCCUUUCAAAUGGUAAAUUAUCAAGAAAACUCAAUGGCCAAGAAAAUAUGAAACAUGUAAGAUAAUUGUGAAGUUGAGCAAGAUGCUCCAUAAGCUAAUUAUGAUAGUCCAAAGAUCUCUUAAUUCUUUUCUUUUUACAAAGUAGCAUGUACUAUGUUUCUUCCCUUUCUCACGUUGCAGCAAUUGAUCAAAAAGGGAAGCAGAAAGUGAUAUUAUAAGAACUACACAAAGCAUCAUCUUGCCACCUUUCUGGAGACUGAUCAGACUGUCUUUUACAAAUGGCUUAAAAAGGGCUUUUCAAGUUUUUCUUACUUUUUAUUCCUCAAUCGCAGCUCAAGCAUAUUUCCUGCAGAGCUACGGUCCUAGCAGAAA
rnacentral:lncRNA from 1 species